rnacentral:lncRNA from 1 species
CAAACAAGACAACGGAAGCCUUCAAGAGUGUACAUGUUCCGAAGGGGAGAUUUUUCGCCUUGCUCAGAGGGAAUGCGUGAAGGUUGGUAAUUUUUACUGUGACUCCUUCGUAACCGGUGAAAACAAAUCUUUGAAAGAGUACUGUACUUCAAACAGCUUGGGCACUUGCAAACAAGACAACGGAAGCCUUCCAGAGUGUACAGGUUCCGAAGGGGAGAUUUUUCGCCGUGCUCAGAGGGAAUGCGUGAAGGAUGGAGAUCGGAAGAGAGUCGUGUAGGUAAAGAGUGUGCGAGUAAGUGGGGAUGUGGGGGGGGGGGGGGUGGUUUUAUGGGUGGUGUGUGUGGGGGGGGGGGGGGGGGGGGUGGUGGGGUUUGUAUAUAUAAACAAAAAAAAAAAAAAAAAAAAAAAAAAAAAAAAGAAAAAAAAACAACCACAACAAAAAAAAAAAAA